rnacentral:rRNA from 1 species
CGGGUGAGUAACGCGUGGGUAACCUGCCUCAUACAGGGGGAUAACAGUUAGAAAUGACUGCUAAUACCGCAUAAGCACACAGUACCGCAUGGUACAGUGUGAAAAACUCCGGUGGUAUGAGAUGGACCCGCGUCUGAUUAGCUGGUUGGCGGGGUAACGGCCCACCAAGGCGACGAUCAGUAGCCGACCUGAGAGGGUGACCGGCCACAUUGGGACUGAGACACGGCCCAA